AUGCGACAAAAGGUUCGCUUCGGACUAGGAACGCGUUUUCAUUGGCCAGCUGCCCCAGGUUUCUCCACACGCAACCUCCUCCUCUGCUCCUUUCUCUUGCUCGGCGCCGCCGGAUCUGCUGCACCGAGGGGGCACGGCGCCGCUGAGAUGCGGGGCGAUGCGCUGCCGCCUACCGCGCCCUUGGCCUUCUCUCAUCCCCUGCCCCUCCCUCCUCUACGGCGACGGCGAGCUCUUCGAGUCGGGGGCCUCGCCGCUCGUCUUCCUGCCCUGCUCCUGAUCCAGGGCGGCGGCAUGAACCUCUCCCGCGUCGACGAGAAUCUCCUCAGCUCCGUCUGCUGCGCGCGCUCCCUCGCCCUCCUCCCCCCGACCCCAGCCCCUUCCCGUGUCGAGGUUCCAGCUCGAGCUGUUGUUGCGGCGACGGCUGGAUUUGAUGUCACUGAAGUUCUAAAAAUUACAUGA
rnacentral:rRNA from 1 species